UUCAACCGGAAGCGCAUCCCAAAAAGCGGUCCCCGCUAGAAUGAAAAUCUCAUCCAUAUACACAUACAUGUACACAUAUCACGCUACGCACGUUCGCAGGAUCCUAAUGUUCUUCGUGACUUCCGGUACCAGGCGUACUCGUGCACCUCCGAAGGAGUCGUGUGUGGCUCACGGUGACCGGAUAUGGCGAAGAACUGGCUGACCAAAUCGCUCGACGAGUAUCUUUUCAUGCCGAUCACGCGUAACCCGUGUAACAAAUACCGAGAGCACCGAUCGAUGACAUCAUAUAUAUUCAUUGUGUACAUAGGUGGACAUUCGUGCUUAUUUUGCGCGCAUCUUCUAGACCGAUGUAAUUAUCAUUCCAUCAUGGCAUCACAAACGGAGAUAUUAAACUCGAAACGUCAUCUUUUUCCGCACUGGAACAAUGUACAGCAUUGAUAAGCAAGGAAGAACGUAGUACCAGAGAUCUCGGUGGAAGUAGGCCGUGCAAAUGAGAUGGACUCUGCGAAACACCUUUACUUAAACCGAAGCGAGCAGUCACAUGCUAAUUGCAGAACAAGCAGCUACAGAGUUUUGUAGGGCGCGACGCGAGAAAAAAAAAUUGGCGGAAAGAAACGACGAGGGGGAGAUCCGAAUGACAACGAUUGAAAUCAGAGGCAGGAACAUCAUCAAGCAAAGAAAGGAAGUGUAUCGGAUAGCUUCCGAGAUCGACGAUGGAAAGAUUCGUCCCAGACCGGCUGGUUAUUAGCUCGCCAAUAAUUAAGAUGAUUUGAAAAGUGAUGAUGAUAACAACAACAUUGUAAGACAACGUUUCUUGUGCGUGACUCCAUUGUUGCUUGUAUGAUCCACCUGUUACGCGAAUGUGAUCGUGAAACUUAAAUAACGCGAUCGUUGUGACAAUCGUUGAAGAGUAUACGCCUCGGGAAAACAGGAAAUUGAUUCGAACAAAAGAUUCAUUCGGUAACCAAAGACAAUUUUAUAUCGAUUAAACGCGCAACAAAAUAAUUUAAACGCGUGAAUAUUGAACAAACUUUAUUUAUAUAACAAACGUACCUUCUCUAGAAAAAAAAUUAACAUAUACUAUAAAUAGUUCUAAUAU